rnacentral:rRNA from 1 species
AUUGAACGCUGGCGGCAUGCUUUACACAUGCAAGUCGAACGGUAACAGGUUAAGCUGACGAGUGGCGAACGGGUGAGUAAUGCAUCGGAACGUGCCCGGUCGUGGGGGAUAACGCAGCGAAAGCUGCGCUAAUACCGCAUACGAUCUGAGGAUGAAAGCGGGGGACCGUAAGGCCUCGCGCGAUCGGAGCGGCCGAUGUCAGAUUAGGUAGUUGGUGGGGUAAAGGCUCACCAAGCCAACGAUCUGUAGCUGGGCUGAGAGGACGACCAGCCACACUGGGACUGGGACACGGCCCAGGCUCCUACGGGAGGCAGCAGUGGGGAAUUUUGGACAAUGGGCGAAAGCCUGAUCCAGCAAUGCCGCGUGCAGGAAGAAGGCCUUCGGGUUGUAAACUGCUUUUGUACGGAGCGAAAAGGUCUCCUCUAAUACAGGGGGCUCAUGACGGUACCGUAAGAAUAAGCACCGGCUAACUACGUGCCAGCCGCCGCGGUAA